rnacentral:lncRNA from 1 species
CAAGUCCACGCGGCGAGGUUUGUUUUGUCUUGGAACAGAGGGACGAGGCACACCCUGAAAAAAUGACAUGAGAGGUUUAAUCACCUAGUUCAACCUAGUUACAGGCUUAAAGAAACAUUUUAACAUGCAAUUGUAAUCUGCAAAUUGAGAUGACAAAAGAUGCCCACGGGAGAUUCUAGGUAGAAAAAAAAAUCCAAAAAGAAUUCCUAGUACUUUUCCAGUAAUCAGUAGGUGGAGGACAGAAAAAGGGUAGCUUGCACUCAGGUAUAAAUUCACAAAAAAGAUAAAACCAUGGCAUUUUCAUGUGCAACUAUAGUACCAUGAUCUGUGGGCAAAAACAGAGCCCUGAAACCCCCCCCCCCCCUCUUUCAAAAAUAAAGGCUGAAAGUGUAAUUUAAUGAUUUUCCUAGUGGGACAAGCAUCUCAACCACUGGUGUGGAAUGGUUUGGGAACAAAGGAUAACCUAGAUACCAAGGCUCAAAGCGGUUUGGUUCGCCCUACUGCAAAUGACCUGAUGGCUCAGGUACAUAAGCUUCCGACAGCAUAUAAGUGAUGUCGUAACACAUUAUACUCAACUAUAGAAAGAAUCGCUACACUAAAUGGUCACUCUUCAUGUAGUUCCAGCUCAAAGUUAUUACUGAGU